UACGUAGGGUGCGAGCGUUGUCCGGAAUUAUUGGGCGUAAAGGGCUCGUAGGCGGUCUGUCGCGUCGAAAGUGAAAACUCAGGGCUUAACCCUGAGCCUGCUUCCGAUACGGGCAGACUUGAGUUCGGCAGGGGAGACUGGAAUUCCUGGUGUAGCGGUGAAAUGCGCAGAUAUCAGGAGGAACACCGGUGGCGAAGGCGGGUCUCUGGGCCGAUACUGACGCUGAGGAGCGAAAGCGUGGGGAGCGAACAGG
rnacentral:rRNA from 1 species